GGGCGGCCGGCGACCCGCCUUCCCGGUAGCGGCCGUCGCUCCAGUCACAUCAAACCAUCUGCAAGUCACCUCCCUUGUCUUUCUGGACCAUCCACAGCAGAGCCUGGGAAGAAUUUCUGCCUGUGAUUCUCAGAGGAGUGGGCAGACAGUCUGAGGUAGUUUUUUUGCCGGUUUUGAAUGAUGCACACUGAAGCAGGAGCUCAAAGUAUAAGACAAAGACUUUUUAAAAUGGGAAUCUCCACUGCACCCAGAACUUCACUCCAGACCUGGCUGAGGGAAGAAAAUCUCCUGCGAAGUGCAAGGCUGACACCUGGAGGGGACUGCUGAGAUGCAGCUAGGGCAGGGAUUCUGCAACACAGCUUGGGUUAGGAAAGCUCAGAGGGGGUGGCAAGAUCCCAGAUUCUGGAACUGCUCUUUUCAAGUGAAGUGGUAUUUCAGGUAUUCUUCUCUAUCCCCUUUUCCAAUAAUAAAGCAAAAUCCAGAUUUCUAUUUCAGAUGUUCCAUGUCUAAUUUUAGGAGUGGAGAAGAACAUAGAUGCAAACUCUGUGUCAUCUAGUUAUUUACUUCUUCAGUGUUCAGGAAUAUUUGGAUCAAAACUUGCCUUGCUCAAUAAGCUGCUACAAAUAAUGCAAGGUUAUUUUUUUCAGUUGGUUAGUCUAAUAUAUUUGAAUUGCUGGAUAUCAGACUUCCUGCUGCUUUACCAUUUGUGUAACUCUGUGCUGUGAAUUUCUGGAGUACAGACUUGCAGGGUAAUUCUUACUGUCAAAGCUGCAGCUGGAAGAUUUGGCAUUAGGUAGAGCUUGUUCUUUUCAUGUCUGGCUCUGCCAGCACCCACGGUGAGGCUUUUCUUGAUGCUGAUCCUAAUCAAGGAAUGCAAGGCAGCUUCUGGGACAAAGUCUUCAUGCUUCUGGAAGUUUGCUUUCCAGCCUGGCAAUCACCCAUUCAUAGCACUUACUCAGACCUUUUCAGUAAUCUCUCUUCUCUGCCAGGAAUUGUUUCAGUAUUUGUGAGUGCUGGUUUUGCUUGAUCUAAUUUUAGCAUAUGUUAAUAACUGAGUUACUUGCUGUGGGGGCAUUACCAUACACUCAGUAUCUCACGAAUCCAAAGAUUACAUGUCCAUUCCAUCUCCUUAAUUCUCUUUGUCAUUGCCAGUGUGGUUCCAAUCAUCAUGACCUUUCUUUAGCAGUGACUAGUUGUUUAUAGAAAAAAAACCAAAAACAAAACAACAAAAACCCCAACAACCAGCAGUUAUUUUCAGAGCUCUUACAAGCAAUUCGAUUAAUCCACCUGCAGUACACCUCCCUGAGUCUCCAUCUGUCUCCAGUGGUGUACCUCAGUACCGACUGACUGCAUGGCUUUCCAUUCUAGCCUUCAGACUCCUGAAAUAUCACCCAUAUUCAGUCCAUCCUGAUGAACGUACUAAACUACUCCAUACAUUCCCCACCCAGACUAGCUUAAUGGGUGAGCCAUGAAUAUACUUGCUCCAGCCUGGGGAGUAGAAGAGAGGUACGUUGCCAGCUGUACUAGCAACACAAGAUGUUUGGUGUGCUGGAGGUGCUUCUUUUCAGCCCAGAGCCCUGGGAAGUCUAAUGCCAUCUCUGUGGCUGCUGUUUCUUCAGCGCCUCUCAUUAACUGUGGCAUGACUCUGAAGAGGCAUUAACAUCUUUACCCCUCCUCCACCCCAAGAAUAUUGCCGACGCUGGAUUGUCAGUUAUGCUGAAUUAUGCUGGAUCACUUGUGGUUAUUCAGUGAUGUAGACAAAUACCAAUUCAAGAUCAAGGGUGAACCCUGGCCACUAAACUUGUUUCACUUGUGACUCAUUCCAGACUUAAAACCUGGCUCUUGCUGACAUUUUAUUAACCCAAUUUGUCAUCCUCCUAACCCCCAUUAUCCAACCCAGGCAGAUUAUUUACUUUGAAAAGAUGUGUAGAUAGCUUCCAUGCGAAUCCUAAGUAGAUCCAGGUGCCAUAGCUAGAUUCCAGAGGGAGCUAUAGCCAUGAGAGAUACACGUGCUGGUAAAAUAACUUCUAUUCUAAAUGCUUCGAAACAUUUUCCCUGUUUAGAUAUUGUCUGGACUCCCAUUCCUGCAAAGCAGCCUGGCACCAAUAUGGUAAAGUGCCCAACUACAUACCUUCAGGCCUGGUUGUGGUCCCAAAGAGAUAAGCAAAGAUAAAUUUAAUCAUAUACUUAAAAGUUAAGCACAUGCUAAAAUAUAGUCUUGCUUUGGAGUCAGAAUCAACUGACUCCAACCCUACUAAGCAACUCCCUUUGAAUCUUUGCGUUUAUCCCAAAAUAAAGCAUUCAAGUGAAGAAUUAGCUUGCUGCCUUCUGGAGAAUUCAUCAUUUCCAGUUUGCAAGCUUGAGGAGAGAAAUCCAGGAAGCAUCAAUAAAUCCACUUUGGCAGCAGAGUAAAGAGCUGCAAAAGGAGUAACCUGUCAGGGUAAUGUGACUUAAUUUCUCAGAGAAAGAUCCUUUUUAUAAAUGAAAUUAAAAUGCCAGCAAAGUCAAAUAGCAGGAAAUGUCACCCUUGAUUUUCUCACAGUAGGACAAAAAAUAAAUCAAAAGAAGGCAAGGUAAAUGAUAACGGUUUUACAUUUAGCAAGGGAAGUAAUAACAUAAACUGAAAAUAACAACAUACACUGAGAAUCUAUGCACAGCAGCCUGAGUAUGACAAAGGUAUGUGUUCCCACGUAAACAUUCAUUUAAUCUGCAUGUUUUUACUUGGACAAAACGAAGGCUGUGUGCCAGAGUUUAAAUAUUUGGUGAGAUUCACACAUUGGACAUGAGGGGGCAGUCUUACCUGCAGUUUAUUGAUGGCAAAACUCUGCUGUGUAAUACCGAGGCAGGGUCCUUACAGGCAGUUUGGUUUGGUGUCCCAAGUUGCAAUGGCACGAUCUGGAGCUUUGCCCCUUUCUAAACAAGGGACCCAUCCAGGCUUUUCAGAUUUCCUUAGUCAAAGGGUGAGCACUGUCCCUUUAAAUAAGCACAGAGAUCUCAGUCCAAAUGGGGAAUGAAGCCCAGGCUACCAACAGUUAUGAAAUCUCCCUUUCAGAGCUUGCAGGCUUAGGGGCCGCUGCUACACUCUGAGGUUAAUAAUCAGUUUUAAUAUUCACUUAGGGGGCUGUAAAAAAAGAAUGAAAAUUUCCUAAUUUGAAAAUGGACUUGAUUGGCAGCUUUAUUAUCUCUGUAAGGUGCGUGGCAUUCCACACAAUCAAGUCGUUUUUUUAAAUAAUCUCACUGCUUAAGUCGUACACGCUGCUAAUUGCAUUUUAAUAAGUCUCUUUAAAAUCUUUCCAUAUUUUUUAAUAUCCUAAUAUUAGAUAAGUGAUUGCUGGGGACACUGGAGGGCACUGAAGUUUAUAGAAAGAGGAACACCAUAAUGAAGCUUUAUUGGGAUGGCAUCACCAAACAAUUGCUGUGAUAGCAACACUCCCAAGCUUGGAAAAGUGCCAGACAUUCCCCCCCUGGAACUGACUCAGACACUAGCCUCUCUGGCUCAGGACUGACGCAGAAAAUGGAUGCUUUCUGGCUCAUAAAAUGGCCUCUUUCCGGCUUGGAAAUGACUGAGGAACUGUCCACUUUUGAUUUGGAAAGGCCUUGGGAACUGGUCUUUCUCCAUUGAACAAUGACUUCAAAAUGCACUUUUUCUUUUCUUGAUUCUGGCUUGAAACUAUAAAAGUGUUUGGGUUUUGGUUUGUUUUUUUGGUUUUUUUUUUUUUAAUUUGGCCAGGA